UACGUAGGGGGCAAGCGUUGUCCGGAAUCAUUGGGCGUAAAGAGCGUGUAGGCGGAUCGGUAAGUCCGCUCUGAAAGCCCGGGGCUCAACCCCGGGAGGCGGGCGGAUACUGUCGGGCUAGAGUCCGGAAGAGGCGAGUGGAAUUCCUGGUGUAGCGGUGAAAUGCUCAGAUAUCAGGAGGAACACCAAUGGCGAAGGCAGCUCGCUGGGACGGUACUGACGCUGAGACGCGAAAUCGUGGGGAGCAAACAGG
rnacentral:rRNA from 1 species